AGCAAAAUGAAGAGGUUUUGUAAUCUGAAACUAUCUGAUGUUGAUACAUACAUUCAUGGUCAUGGUCUUCAAAGUUCUCUGAUUACU
rnacentral:snoRNA from 1 species